rnacentral:rRNA from 1 species
GGUGAGGGAAGCUGAAGUACUAUACGAUCAGCAUCGCGCACUCCGUGCCAGCAGUCGCGGUAAUACGUAGGGUGCUAGCAUUAUCGGGAUUAUUGGGUUGAAGGGUCUGUGGGCGGAUCUGUAUGUCAGUGGUGAAAUCUCACAGCUCAACUGUGAAACGGCCAUUGAUACUGCAGGUCGUGAGUGUUGUUGACGUAGCUGGAAUAUGUAGUGUAGCGGUGAAGUGCAUAGAUAUUACUGAGAACACCAACUUGCGACGGCAGGCUACUAAGCAACUACUGACGUGAUGGAGAGAGCGUGGGGAGCGAACUGGCUUAGAUACCCUGGUAGUACACGCAGUAAACGAUGCUAACUCGUUUUUGUGUCUUCGGAAUCAGAGACUCAGCGAAAGUGAUCAGUUAGCCACGUGGGGAGUACGAACGCAAGUUUGAAACUCAAGGGAAUUGCCCGGGCCCCGCACCAGCGGUGGAUUUUGUGGUUUAGUUCGAUGAUACGCCAGGAACCUUACCAAGGCUGAAAUGGGAAUUGACAGGUUUAGACAUAGACUAUCUUUCAGACAUUUUCCGAGGUGCCGCAUGGUUGUUGUCAGCUCGUGCCGUGAGGUGUUAGGUUAACUCAUGCAAAGCGCGCACCCCCUCUCCCUAGUGUCCAUCAUUGAAUUGGGGACAGUAGUCAGACGGCAUACGCAAGGAAAGAGGGGGGGGGGGCAGAUGUCAAAUCCCCACGGCCCUUAGGCCUCGGGCCACACACAUAAUACAAUAGCCAGUACAGAGGGCAGCUACAAAGCGAUGUGAUGCAAAUCUCGAAAGCCGGUCUCAGUUCCGAUUGGAGUCUGCAACUCGACUCUAUGAAGCCGGAAUCGAUUGUAAUCGCGCAUCAGCCAGGGCGCGGUGAAUACGUUCCCGGGCCCCGUACACACCCCCCGUCAAGCCAGGGAUUUUAGGGGUACCUCAAGUCUGAGACCCGUAACAGCACAGGUAGCAGUAGAGUCUUCACGCCC